AGCGAACGCUGGCGGCAGGCCUAACACAUGCAAGUCGAACGGAUCCUUCGGGAUUAGUGGCGGACGGGUGAGUAACACGUGGGAACGUGCCCUUUGGUUCGGAACAACUCAGGGAAACUUGAGCUAAUACCGGAUGUGCCCUUCGGGGGAAGGAUUUAUCGCCAUUGGAGCGGCCCGCGUCUGAUUAGCUAGUUGGGAAGGUAAAGGUCCACCAAGGCGACGAUCAGUAGCUGGUCUGAGAGGAUGAUCAGCCACAUUGGGACUGAGACACGGCCCAAACUCCUACGGGAGGCAGCAGUGGGGAAUCUUGCGCAAUGGGCGAAAGCCUGACGCAGCCAUGCCGCGUGAAUGAUGAAGGUCUUAGGAUUGUAAAAUUCUUUCACCGGGGACGAUAAUGACGGUACCCGGAGAAGAAGCCCCGGCUAACUUCGUGCCAGCCGCCGCGGUAAUAC
rnacentral:rRNA from 1 species